GGUGGCCCAAUGAUUGUUUUUGGUAAAUUGAGGUGAUCCAUUAAAAUGAGUACUAAUUCCACCAAAAAUAAUACAAAGCCUCAUCUACUUUCAGUCCCGCCAAACGCCUGCUGCACCACCGUCGACUGCCGUGUUCCUCCUCUUCCCCUACUCACUCACCUCUCUUCAUUUCGAUAAUCUUAAUAUUGAAUUUCACUUCAUUUUCGGACCCAGCAUGGCGGCUUUUACUUUCACAGCGUCUUCUUUAUUCGGUUCCAGAAUUACCGAGCCAUUAACCUUAAUCUCCUCGAAAUCGCCAUCCAUGUUGAACUUCAAAAGAACUCCAGUCAUUAAAAUCUCAUGUGAUUACUCUUGCUUGGAAGUUAAGGAUGUUCAUUAUCGACCUCCAGGGACUCAGAUUAACCUUUUGAAUGGAGUUAGCUUUUCACUUCCGGAGAGAAGCUUUGGCUUAAUUUUUGGACAGAGUGGAAGUGGAAAAACUACGCUCUUGCAGCUACUUGCAGGAUUGAGCAAACCAACGUCAGGCUCUAUUUUUAUUCAGAGAUAUACAGAUGAUGGCAAACCAACUCAAUCUCCGAAGUCAUUGGUUCCAGAAAGAGUUGGUAUUGUGUUCCAGUUCCCAGAGAGGUAUUUUGUAGCGGACAAUGUGCUUGACGAAGUUACAUUUGGCUGGCCAAGGCAAAGGGGUGGACCUCAAUUGAAGGAGCAUCUGGCAUUAAAUCUCCAAAGAGCGUUUAAUUGGGUUGGAUUGAAUGGUAUCUCCUUGGAUAAAGAUCCUCACUCAUUAAGUGGUGGUUACAAACGACGGCUUGCUCUUGCAAUUCAAUUAGCACAAGUCCCUGACUUAUUAAUAUUGGAUGAGCCUCUCGCUGGUCUUGAUUGGAAGGCGCGUGCAGAUGUUGUUAAACUUUUGAAGCAUCUGAAGAAAGAAUUAACCAUACUUGUUGUCAGUCAUGAUCUCAAAGAGCUAGAAGAGUUAGUUGAUCAAUCUUGGAGGAUGGAAAUGGGUGGAUUUCUGAGGGAAGAGCAGCUAGUGGUUUAGUUUAGAAUAUUGCUCAGUGCGCCCCAUUUGAACUUGCAGCAGUACAACCAGUAACUCCAUAUUGAGGCUGAGGCAUUACUGAGGACUUGUAAUUUUGUGUUCCUGCCCUGGACGUUGAUCCCUGAGAAAACCAGUUCUUGACUUCAACUUGGUGCAUCUGCUCUCCAUCAGUACUAUCGCCAUCAUUGUAAGGAGUAUUAUUCAUCUCAUUCUUAUGCUGAACUUUUGAUUCUCUUUCAGCUAUAGAGCUUUCAGGAUGGAUUUUUCUGUGAAACAGUCUAGUGACCUGCAAGCCACACUGAAAGUAAAACUCAUGCUGGGGAUUAGAAAUCCUUUUACCCCUUUCAUUAGAAUAAUUAAUCUGAAGGACUAUCCUAGAUCUGCUCCAUCUAAGGUAUAAAAAUAAAUGGAGAAUUGGACUUGUCUUAUGUUGCUCUGACUCUUCUCUUUUGUCCCAUGUUGAAUACCCAUAUCCAUCACAUAUUCAGCCAUUUGUAUGAGUUAUGAUUCUACAAAUGUAUGAAUGAACUUGGAAAAGAUUGAGGAUACUUGAGUUGGAUACGUACUUGUAUCCGACAUCAGCUAAGUCCAAGUAACAUAGGACUUAUCAGUUGACCAUGUCGAUGUUCAGGGAAGAAACAAGAAGUGUUUUUCAAUGGUGAGAUUAUAAUUAGAUUUAUUGGAAUAUCCAUAGAAUUUGCAAAUUACCAAAAGAAAAAGGUUGAUAUGUCAUGUUAGCAUGUGGUUAAUUUCAGUUUUUCACUUCUCUUUUUUUUUCUGAACUUGCUAGUGUAGGUACCGAGUUCUGUUUAAAAGGGCAAAAUCUAAAUCCUCCCUAGCUGAUAUGUUAUUGACAAUUUUGGCAAGUAUUCUUUGCUGAUAGAGAGUUAGGUCUAUAUUAUCUGAACUUUUCAGUCCUAAAGCUGUGAUGUCCAAUUCUUGCACAGAAAUUGAACAUAGGUACGAAAAUAUAAUAUUCCAAAUAUAAGGAACAACUUUAAAAUGAAAAUUAAACACAUACUCGUAAUACAGACUCAUCCUAAAUUCAAGUAUUAUAGUUAAAGACUGUCCCAGAAAUAUAUGCCACUGAAUUAUGUUAUGUUUUAUUAUUUUAUUACCACAAAAGGCCAUGUUGUGGACUUCUAGACUCUAGGACUGAAAUGUUCUGACUUGCCAGAGUUUGACUCGUUUUUCAGUGAAUGGUUUAUAAUCUAAGGCUUGAGAAUUAUGGUAUUGGCAUACAUGAUUCUUGUACCUUCUGCUCCUUGUACUCUUUAAUUAUUGUAGACUUUUUGACUAAGAUCAAUGCUACAAAAUAUGUGUUUUCGAAGGCAGGGAUGCACCAUUGGAUUUUACAUUAUUGAGGUCCUCCUCCUUAAAAUUCUUAUAAAGUUGUUAGAGAAUCCAGCCCCUGAAGACAGAAGACUCACCUUUUGGAGUUUUUUCUUGGUUGAAACAGGAUUAGUUUCUUUGGUGAAAGAGAUAGAACUCCUUGAAGAAGCAUGAAGCAUUUUCAGAAUCUUCUUGAUGAAAUGCUUGAGAGGUUUACUUGUUUGUUUGGUCUGCAUUUCUUCUUUCCCACAUUUUUCCAUAGUACUCUCAUCUGCAAUUUUUGUACCGUAGAACAGUUCUGCAAGUGUUGCCUUUUCUUUCUUUACCUGAAAUCUUGUUUCUGGGAGUUCUAUCAAAGACCCAAACAGAUAUCCUUGAAGUGGACAAACAAUUGCCUUCCCAUAUUCUUCAGCACUCACUUCUUGUGUUGGCUCACCAUUAAGUGCAAUUGUGCUAACCAGACUGUUCCUUCCUGAUGAUUCAUGAGACCCAUGUUCUUCAGCUUCAGGCCCAAGGAACUUCUCCAGUUCAUCAUUGAUGACCUUAAAAUCAUUUUCUGUCACCUCUGUUUUUCCCUCGGUUAUGUUUUCCAAAAACAUGGUGAAUCUUGGUGUUACAGGCUCGCCAAUAGCCCACUCAGAUGCCAGAGUUCCAAUGGUCAGAAAGUCAGUGGAUGUUUCAUCUCCAAAGUUGUCUACUUCACCAGCUUUGAAAUCUGUGGAGUUUUCACUUUCCUGUUUGCGCUGGGUUGUGUAUCUUGAUCCAUAUCCACAGCUGGAAGUUGACUUAGGAUGCGAGUCUUGCUCAUUGAAGGAUGAAUAAGCUGAAAGACAGGUGCAGUAGUUCCCUGAAGUCAGGAGUUUAAAGACAUCAGACAACAGUUGCACAAAAAGGAAUUUAUGUUGUGCUUAAGCAGAACUUAUGGAUUUUCAUUUUAAGCACUUAUAUUAAUGUACUUGGUUUAGCCAUCAUGAAAUGAAGAGAAAUAAGAUACACCUGAGACCAUGAAGAUGGGUGGCUACUACAUUAGAAAAUCUUUAGAGGAAAAAUGAUACCGAGUUCUGACUCUUAGCUAUGUGGCCGUCACCACCUAGUUUCAACAGUAGUGUAAGGAGCCUAUAUUUUACCCUCUGUUUUAGGUUUAUAAUCUAUCUGUUUUAUAUCUAUAUAUAACUCUGCGAGGGAUUCUAAUGACUAAUGCCUUAGUUCGUGUUGGGCAAGUCAACUGAUUAUCCAUAUUCAGCUAUGCUGAUCCAAUCUAGUGAUGAUUUUCAUGCCUCCAGGAUUGCUUUGUGAAUGAAAGAAGUCGGAAUACCAAUUCUGAAAUCCUUGAAAGGCUCAAUAUUACUUUGCUGUAACUUAUGCCACGUCCAUCCUAGAAACUGCAGCAACAACAGUAAGAGGAUGCUGCCACCAUUACGAGGACUAGGGACGUACUUAAAGGUUUCUACCUCAAUAAGCUUAGUUCAAUUGAAGCUUGGUGAAACCUGCAACAUUGUUCAACUCAACUGUUUGCAGAUGAUAAUCGAAACUUGCCAAUGAGACAGGGUUGCCGACAUUGAUACUUCAGUAUACCCAAAAGCAUCAAAGAGUCUAAGAUGUUAGAGUGAGCCGAGGAGGAAGAUAUGGUUCGCAUCAAGACAAAAGCCACCCCAAAAUGUCUUCAACUUGAAUCCUAGACCCCCCCCCCCCCCCCAAAUUUGGAUGUGAGGGCAACUUUUUGUCAUGUGCCUCUGCAUAUAAUCAUGGUCCAUUGUGUUGAAUACUUAUCUUCAGUCAUAUCCUAUCAUUACCUAACAGUGAAAGUGCAGGGCCGUAUUACUUACAUUACAUGUAUAUUUGAUGACAGCUAACGUUGUUAUUAAGAGUCUUUGUGAAUGAAACUUUAAACACAA